CCUACGGGUGGCAGCAGUGGGGAAUAUUGGACAAUGGGCGAAAGCCUGAUCCAGCCAUGCCGCGUGUGUGAAGAAGGCCUUCGGGUUGUAAAGCACUUUCAGUGGGGAAGAAAGCCUUGGGGCUAAUACCCUCGAGGAAGGACAUCACCCACAGAAGAAGCACCGGCUAACUCCGUGCCAGCAGCCGCGGUAAUACGGAGGGUGCGAGCGUUAAUCGGAAUUACUGGGCGUAAAGCGCGCGUAGGCGGUCUGAUAAGCCGGUUGUGAAAGCCCCGGGCUCAACCUGGGAACGGCAUCCGGAACUGUCAGGCUAGAGUACAGGAGAGGAAGGUAGAAUUCCCGGUGUAGCGGUGAAAUGCGUAGAGAUCGGGAGGAAUACCAGUGGCGAAGGCGGUCUUCUGGACUUACACUGACGCUGAGGUGCGAAAGCGUGGGUAGCAAACAGGAUUAGAUACCCGAGUAGUC
rnacentral:rRNA from 1 species